GAGUAGAGAGACGUUAGGCUACACUCGUUUCCAAGGUGAGUAGAGAGACGUUAGGCUACACUCGUUUCCAAGGUGAGUAGAGAGACGUUAGGCUACACUCGUUUCCAAGGUGAGUAGAGAGACGUUAGGCUACACUCGUUUCCAAGGUGAGUAGAGAGACGUUAGGCUACACUCGUUUCCAAGGUGAGUAGAGAGACGUUAGGCUACACUCGUUUCCAAGGUGAGUAGAGAGACGUUAAGCUACACUCGUUUCCAAGGUGAGUGGAGAG